UACGUAGGUGGCAAGCGUUUGUCCGGAAUCACUGGGCGUAAAGCGCGCGCAGGCGGCGAUCUACGUCUGGGGUGAAAGCCCGGAGCUCAACUCCGGGACUGCCUUGGAUACGGGAUCGCUUGAGGAUUGGAGAGGCAAGGGGAAUUCCACGUGUAGCGGUGAAAUGCGUAGAUAUGUGGAGGAACACCUGUGGCGAAGGCGCCUUGCUGGCCGAAUUUCUGACGCUGGAGGCGCGAAAGCGUGGGGAGCAAACAGG
rnacentral:rRNA from 1 species